GACGAACGCUGGCGGCGUGCUUAACACAUGCAAGUCGAACGGAUAGGUCCUGCUUAUGUUGGGUGCUCGAGUGGCGAUAGGUAGAUUAACACGUGAGUAACCUGCGCUUGCCUUUGGGAUAACCUCAUGAAACUGGGUCUAAUAACGGAUAGCAGCAACUGCUGAAUAGAGGGGCUAGGAGAGUUUCUGCGGUUGGGGAUGGACUCGCGGCUUAUCAGCUUGUUGGUGGGGUAGUGGCAUACCAAGGCUUUGACCGGUAGCCGGCCUGUGAGGUUGACCGGCGCCAUGGGGACUGAGAUACGGCGCAGACGGCAACUGGAGGCAGCGGGGGAGAAUAUUGCACAAUGGGGGGAAGCCAAAUGAAGCGUAGCCGCGUGCGGAAUGACGGGCUUCGGGUGGUAAACCGUUUAUGCCUGGGAUGAAGUGCGAGUGACGGUAAUGGAUAAAGAAGCACCGGCUAACUACGUG
rnacentral:rRNA from 1 species